rnacentral:lncRNA from 1 species
AAAAUGAAAAAUUGUAGUUUAGUCCUUUUAGAAAUAGUAAAGUUAUAAAUUAAUUUUUCAUAAAAUUACACUUUGGCCCGCUUAAAUAUGAAAAAAAAAACUAUUUAUUCCUUAAAAAAUAAUGAAAUUAUAAGUUAGUACAUGGUAAAAUUAUAUUUUAAUCUCUUAAAAUUUUAUAAUUCAAUUCCAGCCCCCCCUAAAAAAAAUUUCUCGC